rnacentral:rRNA from 1 species
UACAUGUGGGGCAAGCGUUGUUCGGAAUUACUGGGCAUAAAGGGUGCGUAGGCGGCUUGUUAAGUCAGGGGUGAAAUCCCACGGCCCAACCGUGGAACUGCCUUUGAUACUGGCGAGCUUGAGUGCGUGAGGGGUAACCGGAACGAGUAGUGUAGCGGUGAAAUGCGUAGAGAUCAGCAGGAAUACCCGUGGCGAAGGCGGCCCCCUGGGCCGAACCUGACGCUGAGGCGCGAAGGCUAGGGGAGCGAACGGG